AGUUCUCAAAGCUCUGUGCAUUUGAUAUUCAAAUCUACAGAAAAUCGUCAGCUAGGAACAAAGUGAAACGGAAAAAGACCUGAUUUACGACUAUUAUGUGGUUGAACCAGGCUCACACUAUCAGCAUCCCGAAGACACUUGAAUGGGUUCAAGGUUUCUUCCCUGUAACUUUAUGAAAAGAAGACAAGAUGAUUAGGUAGCAAAUUUGGAAAAAUAGAAAGGAUAGUCAGCAAUCAUAACCAUAACAGUACAGAAUGGAACAUAUUAAUGAAAAGACAACAAUCAAAAGAAUUUUGCAGUAUUCUGGGGCUUUCUACCAACACUUGCUGAAGGCACAUGGACAAGAGAGUUGUCAAGCCAGAAGGGGUGCACAAAACAGAAAAAAUGCCAAGAAGUGUGAGAAGAUUAAGGUAACAUGUUAAAUGAAUGUUACUACUUACUAAGGCCAUGAAUUGCAUAUGUUGUCCUCCUA